UCUCAACAGGCCCCAGCCCUAACCACAAGCCAGAUCCUUCCCUGCUCUCUCAGACCAUUUCACACCCACCUGGGAGGCCUGUCUGUCCGCUCAAAGAGCUCAAUUAUGCCAUUUUAUUUCAUUUCCACUUCACAAAUCCAACAUAGUUAAUCGGGUUUGAUAUUAAUGAGCCUGUACAGCUAAAACAUGGAAAUAUAAUAACUACUGUUGAUCAAUCUUUCAGCUACUUUUUUAUAUCUGUCUCAAGAACUCCAUCUCAAAGAGUAAAUUCAUAUUAUGAAGACUUUAUUCAUAAAGCAGCAGAAGUUUGGGGUUACUCAUUAUGUUAUGCCUCCUACUAACAUAGGACAUUUUGGAGAAGGAAUUCUACUACGAUUUUCCAGGAAACAUGAACUUCUGAGCCAUCUGAGACAAUACCAUCCGCUUGGACUUCCUUGACAUGAACAGAGACAUACGUGAAACUUCAAUUCAGUGAACUUGAAAGGGCACUGGAAUCUUGAUCUCCAUCUUGGUGAUGAAUUUUGGAAAAAGCUAAUUGUACAUUUAAGAUCCAGGGCUAAAUAUUGACCAUGUGACUUGGUAACUUCUGUAAGACUCAGUUUCCAAGUGAGGAACAUCCUUCUAAUGGGAAGUUCUCAAUAAAAGAAAGUAGUUUUCAUAUUUUUUGACUCCAAAUGCUUGUAUGAUCCAGACAGCACUGUCUUUCCUUGGCUUUCCUUUCUCUAAUUCUCUACCCCCCACUCUCCUGUCUCCCUUAUGCAGAAUGUUAUCUUGGCACCUGGGUUCCAUUUAUUAUUAGUCAUCUCUAAAGAUCUUGUUGAAGCGAAACUGAUUUUUAUAUUAUAACAUAGAAAUUUGUCUGAACCAAUAAUUAGGAUAUUGGUCAUUAUCGUUGACAUUCUGUCCUCAAGUAGUAUAAAUCUCUAAAUUCAAACUCAUAUAGUUUCCG